rnacentral:piRNA from 1 species
UGGUACUCCUGCAAAAGUCAAUGCCCUUCU